rnacentral:rRNA from 1 species
GCGUAGGCGGUUAAUUAAGUCAGAUGUGAAAUCCCAGGGCUCAACCUUGGAACUGCAUUUGAAACUGGUUAACUAGAGUUUUGUAGAGGGUGGUAGAAUUUCAGGUGUAGCGGUGAAAUGCGUAGAGAUCUGAAGGAAUACCAGUGGCGAAGGCGGCCACCUGGACAAAGACUGACGCUGAGGCGCGAAGGCGUGGGGAGCAAACGGGAUUAGAUACCCCGGUAGUCCACGCAGUAAACGAUGUCUAUUAGAAUUUUGUGGCUAUAUGCCGUGGGAUUCAAAGCUAACGCAUUAAAUAGACCGCCUGGGGAGUACGGCCGCAAGGUUAAAACUCAAAUGAAUUGACGGGGGCCCGCACAAGCGGUGGAGCAUGUGGUUUAAUUCGAUGCAACGCGAAGAACCUUACCAUCCCUUGACAUCCAGAGAAUCWSYWAGAGAUWGWWGAGUGCCUUCGGGAACUCUGAGACAGGUGCUGCAUGGCUGUCGUCAGCUCGUGUUGUGAAAUGUUGGGUUAAGUCCCGCAACGAGCGCAACCCUUAUCCUUAUUUGCCAGCGGGUUAUGCCGGGAACUCUAGGGACACUGCCGGUGAUAAACCGGAGGAAGGUGGGGACGACGUCAAGUCAUCAUGGCCCUUACGGGAUGGGCUACACACGUGCUACAAUGGCAAAUACAAAGGGCUGCUAACCAGCGAUGG